AUUGAACGCUGGCGGCGUGCUUAACACAUGCAAGUCGUGCGGUAACAGGCGUAGCAAUACGUGCUGACGAGCGGCGAACGGGUGCGUAAUACAUGGGAAUCUGCCCUUUAGUGGGGAAUAACCCGGCGAAAGCCGGGCUAAUGCCGCAUAAGAUCUUCGGAUGAAAGCGGGGGAUCGUAAGACCUCGCGCUGAUGGAUGAGCCCAUGUCGGAUUAGCAGUUGGUGAGGUAACGGCUCACCAAGGCGACGAUCCGUAGCUGGUCUGAGAGGACGGUCAGCCACACUGGGACUGAGACACGGCCCAGACUCCUACGGGAGGCAGCAGUGGGGAAUAUUGGACAAUGGGGAAACCCUGAUCCAGCGACGCCGCGUGUGUGAAGAAGGCCU
rnacentral:rRNA from 1 species